rnacentral:lncRNA from 1 species
UUUUUUUUUUUUUGCCUACGAUCUUCCACUACUAAUUUGACGUAUGUAGGAAGAAAUGGCACUGAAGAAUUGCCAUUCAAGAAAUAGUUGCUUUGCAUCAUACUACAAUUUUGAUUCCAACUCCUAGUUCCAGUUUACUGUACCGUUACAAAAAUCACAAAUGAUAAGUCACGGGCUGCACCAUUGAUCAUAAGUCAAACUCAUGUGACUCCAGUUAUUCAUACUCCGUAGCAUUUUCCUGAUGACCAGACAGUUCCUCAUGUUUAUCUUCUUAAUGACAACAAAUAUGGCAUGCAAUCAACCAGAAUUUAGAAAAGGUCAACCUACUACACACAUGACAAAUCUGGAUGGUUGCAGCACACCGCCGGCUGCCGAGUAGAACUGCACGCUGGGUGGUGCCGGCGUGCCGCUGUUGCGUCGGCCGGAUGGGGCGGGUACCAGGUGGCUCCUGGCCUCCUGGGAACGGACUAUGGCACUGGAUCGACCGAGCUCCGCCGCUCUGCCGCUACGGUGAGUUGCAGGCGAGGUGGCGAGUAGCUGAGUAGGGAUGGGGGAAUCAGGGGACGGGAACAGGUGCGGCUGUGCGCACUAGGUCGGGAUAAUGCUUCCUGGGCUUUUUUAUAUUUUCCUCAGGGCUUUUCUUCUAUGGUAUGAAGGCCAUCACAAAAUCCCCCUGUCCACCCUCUGGAUCCGCAGCUUUGCACUAACAGCAGCCAAUAAACUUGAAGUAAUGGUAAGAUAAUAUUAGAAAUAUUCAUGACAGUUUUAAAAUAUUUUUACACUUUUCAGACCAUUCCUUUUCCACUGUCAUGAACAUUGAUAAGAUAAUAUUAGAAAUUACCAGCUAAUAAACUUGAAGUAAAAGAAUAGGUAGUAGUCAGUGAAGAGUAGAAGAUGAGAGGUCCAUACCUUGGUAAGCCUAUGUAGCAUAUUGUUUCUGUAGUAAAUAGCUAACAUGAGACCGCAGAGGCGCAGACACGCCAAGGAACUGAAUGCAGGUCAUGGGCUAUUUUCUUCUCCCAGAUUUUUUGUGCUUCUUGUGCUCUGUUGUCCUUCUCAAGUGCAUGCACUAAUUGCUUGUAUGUUCUGAUGGUAUUUCCUUGCCCUUUGCUCAACAUCCAUUUUAUUACCUAGGUGUGUGGUUGGCAGAAAUUCAAUUCAUACUGUAUAAAAGAUAAAUCCAAUAAAAAUAAUUUAAUUAUAAUCUGCAAUACUUGGACAAUUCUAUGCCAUUGUUCCUCCUUUUCAAGAGCUACAAUUGCUUGCUUUAAUGAGGCGAGUGGAAAGUCCUGCUCAAAGGCGAUCCAUGCAUCAAGGGUGCUGUAAAUAGCUUCUUUUGAAUCUUCAAGAUCAAGAAGCUGCAAUUUAGAGAUAACAGUAGUUAAUUAAUUUGUUCCAGUGAGCAGCAGUGGCUAACUGCCAGCAAUAAAUAAAAUCUGUAGUUAGGUUUCAAGAAGCACAUCUGAUCCAUACUGUGUUCUCUACAUAAAUAAAGGCUGCAAUUUGUGUACUGAGGUGAAUCCUAAAUUUCCUACUCUAGCCCAAAAUGCUGUGUACCUAGUACUGCAUACUAAGCUGCAUAUGAUAAAUCAUUCCGUCGUUGAAACCAAGAUAUGUUUGGUAAGACCUACUUACUUGUAAACAAUUAAGCAUAUUGCAAUGAAUAAGCUACUAAAAGUUUUUAGGGACAACAGUUGCUAGUUGACUACAUAGUGCAAGCUCAUUACUUGCCUUGAAGGUGCAAGAGAACUUUUAUAGUUCAUAUUUGGUAAAUAACAAGUGAAAUUGCACACUUACUAGCGGAUCCAAACCUUCUUCUUUCGGUGUCCCCUAGCUUUUUGAAUCAGGGUCAGAUCAUUAUCUCUUUGUUGUGCCUCUACCACUUAUCUAGUUGUAUUUUAGCAUUUUUUUCUCGAUAUAAUGCCACUGAGAAGCUGAGUACAGGUUAUAUAUAUCAUGUUAGUGACGUAAUAAAUUCCAUUUCUCCUCAGCAUCCCUGCAAGUUAACCUGGGCCGCAAAAAGCAUAUGGAGAGUCAGCUUGCGUACCUGAGAAGGAUGCUCGUGACUGGAGAGAGAUGAGGGAAAUACUUGAAGCAUCGGCGCAGCGCAAUGAAAAGUAAGGAACUAAUUCUUUUGUGAGAAUUUUUUUUAUUUGACACUAUCUUAAAAUCUGCUUCCUUAUUUGACACAGGAAAAAAAAAUCUUCCCUAUUUGACACAAAUUCUAAUUUUUAUUCCCUAUAUGACAUUUCCGUUCAUUUUGAGCCUAAAUGGCACCUGAAAAGACUCUUUUGCCCCUCAUGUGGUAUGUGUGUGGGGGGCAAUAGCGCACACAUGCAACACCAGUGCGAGGGCAGGAGCACACACGCAGCAACACAUACACAUGCACCAACACACACACAACAACAACAACACGCAUGCGCACGUGCGCACGCACACACAUGCACGCGCGCACGCGCACAGCAACACACACGCACGUAGCACACACACGCAGCAGCAACACACACGCACGUAGCACACACACACGCAGGCAGCACAUAGGCACGCAACAGCACACACACACGCGCGCACGUACCCACGCAGUAGCAAAGACACACGCAGCAGCAGCACACAUGUGCGCGUGCACCCACACACGCAACAGCACACACGUGCGCACACACAUACCGCAUGAGGGGCAAAAAUCGUCUUUUCAGGUGCCAUUUAGGCUCAAAAUGGACGGAAGUGUCGUAUAGGGAAUAAAAUUUAGGACUAGUGUCAAAUAGAGAAGAAAAACUUUUCCAGUGUCAAAUAAGGAAUCAGAUUUUAAGACAGUGUCAAAUAAGGAAUUUUCUCUUCUUUUGUCCUGCAGAUCUUCCUUUUCUUCUGUAUGAACAAAUGAACUAUGCUAAACAUGGUUCCUUUUAACCUGCAGGUGCAAGCGACAGGACAAGGUCGUAAACUGUGCUGCCGCCGCUAUGUUCCUUGCGUUGUUCGCAGGCCACGUGCUCUUUCGCUGAAUCAAAAAAUAGGUUGUGAUUGCCUUGGCCCAUGCCUUGUUUGCCUUCUCCCUGCACUCUGCGCUUUAUGCAUUUGAACUAUGUGUCUCGACAGUUAGAGGCAAGGCACUUCUAUAUGGUUAAACUUUUGGGUCCUCUCUUGGUGUUGCGUGAAGUAUUUUGUUAGCACAGCUCACAUCAGAAUUUCACCCACUCAUGCAUGAGAAUGCCGAUUCUUAUGAGUAUGAAGUAUGACUGUUUCGUAUAGCUAUGUCGUAACACCGAUGGCUACAAGGCCGAGGCAUUUUCGCUCUCCCUCACUUUUUCUUAAGGGAAAGCCACUGUGACGGAUUAUAUUACUUUGGGGCAUAAUGGAUACAUUAUUCACUAUUACAUCAAAUACAUCAUUCACUAUUACAUCGAUCAAGAAAUAGGUUCAUCCAUAUUCAAGCAGAUGCUAUAUGAGCCACCGUAUUAGCUUCUCUGGGACAAGGGCUAACGGUCACAAGCUGAAGUUGCAACAAAGACUCCGUGAACCGAAAGUGGUCUUCUCAGCUCGAGCUUACAUGAGCUCGAGCGAACCGUAAAAUAAAAUAAAAAUGGCUUUUUUUAGCAAACAUUGACAAAUGUUUUGAUUGCUUGCAAAAUUUCAUCAUGGAUGACAUUUGUGGACGACGUUGCAAAAAGAUGCUAGUUUUUUUUUUCCUUUUUUAGUUUUACUGUUCAUCCAAGCUUAUAUGAGCUUGAGCUCAAACUAACCGCUUCCUGAACCGACGGUGCCGCAAUAAGUCCAAUAGAGUUCCCUCCAUGUUGCAUGACCUCGACCACUUCCAAUAUUCGACCAAGAUCGUGUUGCAUCACAUUUGUCCCGCUAAAAUCUACUCUACUUGGCAUGGUGUGCUCGGGUUUCAGCAGUUGUAAUAUCGUCAACAAACAGAAUCUCUCAAUUGCUACGUGACACAAAAUGACCCUGAGCAUCUCAUCCACAAAACCAGAGGCAGCCCCUGGGCGACAUGGAGUUGUUACACCAAUAGGCAUCAAGACACAAACAUCAGUGCGCGAUGGCACGAGGCCAUACAUUAACAUCUUCGCAAUGAUCUUGCUUGAACCUACAAUGCCAAAGCACGGAGGCGUCACCUGAAGGAGAAGGGGGAGAGAGGGGGUGACAAGCCCCAAAACACCACCUCAUUCCGGUGCUUCCAUAGGUGCCUGCAGCAGAGCAGGAUGAAAGGUGUUCAGCGAGGCUUGGCCGACGGUGUCGGCGACGUCGAGAAGAUGGAGAGCCCCAACCGAGGUGUCGCUGACGUCGAGAUGCAAGCGUUGCCAGAAAGGAGAUGAGAGAGUGGCAACCGAAAACCAAAUGACCUAAGGGGGCGGUGCGAAUUGGCCUACAUCAUCGGCGGCGUUAACGAUGGCCUUUCGGAGAAGCACUGUCACCGCUGUAGAUGUGUGCCAGGGAGAGCAGCCAAGCAAACAACUUGCCUAUAGACGACGUCCGGGAAGACCAGAUCACAGCGGUGAAUGAGGCUUGCACUUUGUUGACGUGAGAGAGAUUGUACAACUGGGUUGUAAAUAGAGAGUCCCAAGUGUCGCAAGAAAGAGUGGGUGAUCGCCAAUAUGGACCGUCGAAAACAUACAUUGUCUUGAUCGGCAAAGAGUGCACGAUACGGGGUUGCCCGUCCCUGAUUGAGGUGAGACGAGGCACGAGGAUUGAGUGGAGGCCAUGCACCACGACCUGCAAGACCAAGGCUUCAGACGCAGUGGUGUGCGUGAAUAAUAAGGGUACGAAGACUAAAGAGGCCCAUACGACAUGCAAUGAUCAUGGUAAAAGGAGGUCAUCCGCGUGUCUCCCACCUCCUCUCACGAGAGGAUGUGAUAAGCCAUCACAAGGCAGCGCGAUGCCCUGCCAGUGAUCGCCAGCUUGGGAGCAGGCACUGAUAGAGAAAAAUGAGAAUCCGUCCAGCUCGUUCCAAGCCCAGUGUGCCCAUCUCGACUCAAACUGGGAGUAAAGUCGAUGAAACAAUUUGAGAAGAAGGCACUUGUUUUGGUAGGCUAGGUCCUUUUACGUUGGGGCCUCCCUCCUCCUUAGGCCUUGUACAAUAGGAGAUGUUUAGAGAAAUAAACCAGGCUUUUUUUAAGCACCAGUGCUUACUCGUACAGGAUAGACGCUUAACUAAGCGCCUCUCCUGUGGAAAUAGGCACCGGUGUUUCAGAAAAAUCCGGAUUAUUUUUCUAAGCAUCUCUCUAAGCACCUCCCAUUGUACAAGGCCUUAGGGCGGCAGACGCCCUCCCAGGCAACAAGGCAUUGUGUGUCGGAAGCAGCUUUAACCACGUCUAGGAGAAAUUCCGAAGCAGCGCGUCGAGCACCUUAAUCACAAACGAUGGCAACAUCAUAGCGGCCAUGGUGUAGGUGAGGAGGGCGUCCAGAACCGCAGUGACGAGAACAAAAAGAAUGUCGUGCGAGAGCAGCCACGCCCCUCUCGCGACUUCUAAGGCUCGUUUUUUUGGCUGGUGGGCUUUGUUGUGGUAAAAAAUUUAUAAACUUUUAUGAAAAUCGACAUACAAAAUAGUGAAACGUUAGCCGGCUAAACAUGGAAAAAAAAAUGCAAGAAGUAGAAAUACCAUGUAAGCCAUGGAGUGCCAAAGGAAGCAUCAUUGCUGGUGUGGUGUAUGCUUGCACGCAUAUGUUAGGCCACGUGCCAGUGCCACACGUUCCUACAGUCCAAGCCCAAGUCCAAGCAAGUCGACUCACUGCACACGGCACGGGCACGGAGAGGCAGCCACGGAAAAACCGCGACCGAGCCAGCCUGAGGCCUGAGCCGAACCUCCACUCCAGGCCGCCGCCGCUGUUGCUUCCGGUUCGCCACCACUCGCUCGGUCGCUCCGCUCGCCGCACCCGCACUGCAGUCUGCAUCCCCCUUCCCUUCCCCAUGGCCGCCUCGCCUUCCCUCCACGCCCCCCGCCUCCUCCACCUGCUCCCGAACCCCGCCCCGACUCUCGGCAGGCCCCGGCGGCGGCGCCUCGCGACGGCGCCGGCGUCGGCUGUGCCGCCGUCGAGGAACGGGAGCUCGGCGGGGACGGACUGGUGCCCCGUGCCCCCGGAGCAGCGGCCCGUGAACGAGUACGAGGCGCUGGCCGCGUCGCUGCCCUUCUCCUGGGCGGCGGGGGACCUGCGCCUCUACUGCUCCCGCCUCGCCUUCACGGGGGCCGCCUUCGCGCUCUUCGUCGGCCUCCCCGUCGCCGCCUUCGGCGGCCGCGGGGGCGCCGGCGGCGACGCCCUGCACCUCGCGCUCGGGGCCACCGGCUCCGGCAUCCUCGCCGUCACGCUCGCCGUCGUAAGGAUGUACCUCGGCUGGGCCUACGUCGGGAACCGCCUGCUCAGCGCCACCGUCGAGUGUGAGCCACCCGCCCGAUUUUAUAUAUUCCCCUCUGAUCGGCCGGUUUGUAGUGUCUCUGUGCCUGAAUUAUGUGCGUGAUUCCUCGCAGAUGAGGAGACGGGAUGGUACGACGGGCAGGUGAGAUGAUACUCAUGAUCACUCGUUUCUGUGAUCUGGUUUUUAUUCUGUUAAUAACAUGCUGACCUGACGACCCUCGGAUGCUAUGAUUGUUCAAGAGCAACUGGCUUUUAGUGAAGUAUAAUCAGCGGGAUGUAAGGGGUUUGAAUUGGGGAAGCCACUGGCGGCGCUGAAUAUAAUAUAAGUAGCGUGACGCCACCAAAAUAUCACUGGUUAAGUAAUAAGUAUAUAAUUAGCAUCACACCAUCAAAAGACCACUGAGUAAUUGACCGAGAUAGCAUCACACCACCAAAAUAUCAUUCACAAUAGCCGUUCGCUUGCUUAUAAGUUAUAACUCUGUACCUGAAGUUACUGAUGUUCAAUAUGCACCUAGUGCUGAAGUGUUACCUUCGCUUCUGUAUGUUUUUUUGCAUGUUUAUAAUAGAAGCCUUGCAUGAUGAACUUUGUUGGCAAGACUGGUAUAGAAAUUCAAAGAUGGCAUAGCAUGGACAUUUUCAUUGGACGCCAAUUAUUCAAUCAUCUCUGAAGCAUAUACACUUCCGUUUCAGUUUGUUAUACCAAUUCAUCAUUUGUAUUGAUUCAUACACUUGAUGCACUUUUCUGCUCCAGUUCUAAGGAGGAACAACUUAGUAAGGAAACCCAAUUAACUCUUUAUUCUACCUUGCACAUAAGCUGUGAUGUAAACAGUAAACAUGAGGGAACUUAUUUCGCCCUUGUAGUAUUGACACAUUCCUCGGAUGCCAUUAAAACUGGGCUUUUUAUUUACUCUAGAUAGGUCAAGUUACCCCCUUCACUGAUUUCAUUAUUGAUGAUGUAAGGGAUUUGAAGUAGAGAAGCGGCAGUCAGCACCCAAUAUAAUAUAAGUAGCAUCACACCACCAAAGUAUGAAGCUGGAUAAGUAAUAAAAGUAGCAUCAUUCCACCAAAAGAUCACUGAAUAAGAGGCAUAAGUAGCAUUGCGCCACCAAAAGAUCACUAAAUAAGAGACGCAAGUAGCAUCACACCACCUAAAGAUCACCGAGCAAGUGACACAAGUAGCAUCACGCCACCAAAAGAUCAUUCACACUACUUGUUUAAUUCCUUAUAAGUUACUAUAACUGUGUGCCUGAAAUUACUGAUGUAUUCAGUAUAACUCUGCCUGAAACUGCUGAUGUAUUCAGCAUAACUCUGUGCCUGAAAUUACUGAUGUACUACUGAAGUGUUUGUAUGCUUAUGUAUUUUUGUAACUGAAGCCUCGCAUAAUGGACUUUGUUGCCAACAGUGAUAUGAAAUUCAAAGAUGAUAUACCAAAAACACAUGUUCACAGGAUGCCAAUUGAUUAAUCAUCUCUGAAGAGUACACAUUAACUUAUAAAUGGAGUUUCAGUUAUGUUGGUUAUGACGGUGCUUCACUUGUUUUGAUUCAUACACUUCAUGCAUUUUAUGCUGCAACUCUAGCGCGGAGCAAUUUAGUAAAGAAACCCAGCUAGCUUUAACAGAAGUUAUGAUGUAAACAUGACGACUUAUUUCGCCCGUGUAGUAUUUAACCCAUUCAGCCGAUGCUAUUAAAACAGGGCUAUUCUUUUUUAGUCUAGAUGGGUUAGGUUGCCCCCUUCACUGAUUUCAUUCUUGAUGAUGUUGCAGAUAUUAUGCUGACUAGAUUAAUUUAUGCAUGGAGAUAUGAGAAAAUAGUGUACAUAUUCAGCACCAGGCAUUGGAAUUAGCUGUGGCAUCCUGACUCUGUUUCUUACUCUUGGCAGAUAUGGGUUAAAACCCCAGAAGUUCUAGCUCGUGAUCGUCUUCUCGGAUCAUUUUCUGUAAGUUGACAUCAUACAUGUUAACCUCUGGCAUCCUAGUCCACUUUGGUCUGAUCGGUUAUGUUAACUGUCAAAGUGCUUCUUUUCUGUUGAGAUACCUGUCAAGAAGCUAGGGAAAUGAAUAUUGAAUGGUGUAUGCACAUGGCAUGAGCUGUGUAAUUAUUGACAAGAAUAUACUCGUAUAAAGAACCGAUUGCCUGGAUCUACCUUUUAUGGGCGUUAUCUGGACCAGUCUGUUUCUAAAAUGAUGCACACUAUUAAACUGCCAUGUUCCUAUAAAAAAAGUAGUAUUAAACUGUGAUAGGCGUGGGCCACUGGGAGCUACUAAAUCAUGCAUUAGGAAUCUUUCUGUAGGACUUUGUUUGGUGUAACAGGCUACGCAUUAUAGCUUUACGAGACUAAGCAAUAAGAAACAGUUGGUCUUUACAUCAUCUCAAGUCUUCUCCCUGAUGAUGCUGUCUAUUUCCAGUAUCCCAUCUCAUUCAAGCGGCGCCGUGCUGGCCACCUUCUGUGUAACGCUGACCCCUUCGUGAACCAAGUUUCAUGAUAUUAGUCAUACUUGCAUUGCAUGGUCAUGCUGUAAAAGGGGGAAAAAACUAACAUGGUAGCACAUGCUACUUCUUCAGGUGAAGCCGGUGCUGAACAGAGUGAAGUUCACCCUGGUGGGCCUGGCGGUGUCGCUGACCCUCUGCAUCCUCCUGUACGCAAACACCGAGAAGCCGAGGGAGCCGCUGGAGAACCCCGCCGGCGGGAGGGCCAUCCCCGGGGUGUACAGCGACGCCGCCGCGAGGUCGUUCGAGCCCGAUGCCUUCUGCGGGGAGCCCGACCUCGGCGGCGACCAGUCGUAACUUUCGACGGUGGUUCUGGUGGAAGGCGAUGACAGGAUCAUCUAUCUCAUAGCAUCCAUCCUGUUCAUCAGGGUGAAGUGGUGUAAAUAUCUAGCCGUACAUAGCGAUAGUCCAUACGAAAAAUGAAAUCCCUUGUAUAGUUGUAUGUAGCUGUUGGUCCUGUGUAUCUUGGUCCGGUUUGGCUGGCGGGGACGUGACAGGCGAGGUGACGGCGACGCCGUUGGGUCAUCCGCCAGCGCCAGGAAUGUCGUUGACGCGGUUGGGAGCGUUCGCGUCUUGUGUGGCGGGCGUGCCGGCCGCCGAAACCGGGUGGAAGCUGCCUGCCUGAGAAAACUCUUCGCCGCCACAGGACCUGAUGCCGGCAUAAAAUCACCCGUGGACCGUUCCUUUUAAGAAAAACCGGGUAUCAGGCACGGACUUGCUAAAUUUGUUACGGGCACUCACUUGUCUUAUUUAUUUUUUUUAAGAGGGGAGGAAAAUAUCUUAUAAGGACCCCAAUAGCCAACGGACGUUAAUCGGGAAGCAUGGCACUUGCGAAUGUUUUUCAUGACAAGUUCUUCGAAAGCACAUGGCAAUUUUUUCACGAACACGUGGGAACUUGUGCGCAAAGGGAUUUUGCUGCGAAAAUGACCAUGGCGGGAUUGCAGUUAUCCGAAGCUGUGGGUGGCCAGCAAAAGUUACGGGCACUCAGUUCGUCGCUGUGACCUAAAGCUCUGAAAACGAUAGCCACAGCCUCCAACAUCACAAAUCCGUCCAGUUCUUCACCGGAUACCCGCGGCAUGGCGGUAUUCCUCGCGAAAGUUGGAGCUCAAUGUCGAGCACAACCACUCCCCUAACCAUUCGCCACCGCACACGAUUUUUCAAGCACAGCUCAUAGCCAUUCCACCUCCGUUUUUCAGCCAGAAAAACCAUUGCAUUUAUAUAUAUUUUUUUAAGCAGAGAAUUCUACUCCCUCCGUUCCAUAAUAGAAGGGCGCGUUUUUUAAGCCAGCCUACCUAAAAAAACGCUUUUCUAUUAUGGAACAGAGGGAAGGUUUUGAAAUGUCCGCUUCGAGAAGGCAUUGAAAAUUAGUACAGAGCCCCGGAAAAUCCGAGAAGGGGGAAUGUGUCCGUGCCGCUUGGGGUCAAACAUGCCGUCGCCGCCGCCCCGGCUGGAAUCCAAACCCCUCGCCCUCGGGUCCGUCCACCCCGCAAAACGCCCACGCCCACGCGCAGGCCUCACCAGCACCACCACCUUCCCCCACACGGCAGCCAGAGCCGCGCCAGCGAGGCAGCCGCCGCGCCGGCACAGCACAAUCCUUCCCUCCCUCCCUCCCUCGCUAGCUAAUCGCCCACCAAAUACUCGCUCGCUCCUCCCCUCGCCUCGCCUCGCCUGCGGCCCAUCCCAUCCCAUUCCGCCCGCGCUUUAACCCGCUGUCGUCGAUUAAUUAACUAGGCCCACUUGCGCUGCUCUAAUUCCGCCAGCGGCAGCGGCAGGGGGCGGAGGAGGAUCCGGCGGGGAUUGGGAUCGGGCGGCGGUCGAUGCCGGCUGGCGGGGCAUGGCCGGGCGCCGAGCGAUGAGGACGGGAGGCACGGGCAUGCGGGGGCUCGCCGCCGCGGCGCGCUCCUCGCCCGCGCUCCCCUUCCUGCUGGCGGCCGCCUCGGCCGCCGCGCUCGUCGGGGGCGCCUACUUCUGGGUGGUGGUCGCCUCGUUCCGCCUCCCCGACUCGCAGGCCCUCGGGUGCCGGCCCGACGGCGAGGGCUCCUGGGCCAUCGGGGUCUUCUACGGCAGCAGCCCCUUCCACCUCCGCCCCAUCGAGCUGGUGAGGAGCCUCGAGCCUUCAAGGCUGUGUGUGGUGUGGGUUUUGACUUUCGGGGAGGCGCUGGGGUGCUCACUGCUGUUUUGAUUUGGUUCGCGCAGGAAGGGAGGAGCAGCGCCAACGGCUCCGCGUGGCCGGUGGCCAACCCCGUGCUCACCUGCGCCUCCGCCACCGACGCCGGCUACCCCAGCAACUUCGUCGCCGACCCCUUCCUCUACCUGCAGGUACGGUCCGUCAACUCUGCGGAAUUGCGCUUUACUUCUGUGUGUACAUGUACGGGCAUCUCGCGAAAUUUGCGGCGUCAGGGCUGCAAAUCCUUGAUCCUUGAGCUGCUAAACAAGCGAAAUUCAGGCUGACUGGGGUGGAUUUUGGUGGCGGUUGCGGUGUUUCUGAAUUCAGCUCCUCUGCAACCGAGGCUUAGCAAGGGCUUGCGGCUCGACUCUCGGAUGCUUAGGAGUAGGACAGGAUUUGGGAGUGCGAUGUCUAUCUGGGUAGCUGGAUAUGGUGUUCUGACGGUUCUGUUAGCAUGUGGAAGACAUUGUAUCAACUGUUCUAGUCGGGGAUGCAAAAUUAACUACCAAGCUUGGUGCGUACUGAAUUGCCAGUUCAUCAUGAACAAUUUGACUUGAUAACUUUACUUGGGAAGGACUGCAACCUUGUUUAUACUGAAACAUUGUCUCCAUGGCAUGAUUGAACACUUCAGCUAUUAAUCCUGUAAUUUGAUUGUAAAACAGACUAACUACCACUGGAACAUGCUUGCAUGAAAAAGAAUUAGUGUGAUUCUGAAAUGUAUUUUUGAGGAAAUUUAGCUUCUGAAAUGCUGCUGAUUUGGUUGAUGGUUUCAGACUUUCAUGCACCAAAGUACCAAACAAAAGCACAUCGUUAGCGUACUUGUACACUGCAUGACAACAUAAGUGGAUUUGCCCAAUUAAAUAGUUUUUAUAAGGCCCAGAAACACAUUUGAGGAUAUUUGUUUGUGCAUUUACCUGUUUUGGAUGAUAUUUAUGUUACACUUCAUACAAGACAUCUAAAUCAUGUUUCUUAAUACUUUUUGUCAACCUAGAAAUGCCAUCUUCAUGGAUUAUAUGUUUGGACUUAUGUUCAUAGAAGUAUUCUUGAGUUGAGAAAGAACUUCAUGCGAUUUACCUUCUGCAUUCUUUUCUACUUACCAUAAUAUGUUUUGCAUUGAUAUUUUCUGGAAUUCUCAACCGGAUAUUACUUCUUAUUCGUCUCUCAGGGCGACACACUGUUUCUUUUCUUUGAAACAAAAACAACUACCUCAAUGCAUGGUGAUAUUGGUGUUGCAAGAAGCUUCGAUCAAGGUGCAACAUGGGAGUUUCUUGGUAUUGCUCUAGAUGAGGCAUGGCACCUGUCCUACCCUUUUGUGUUCAAAUAUGAGAAUGAGGUAUAUUUUUCACUCUGUAUCUGUUACCUGAGAACUAAGUGGCUAUUUCUGGAGAUGUCGAGGUACUAACUUUCUCUUUUUUCAGAUUUAUAUGAUGCCAGAGGGGAACAAAAAGAAGGAGCUUCGACUUUAUCGUGCUACUAAAUUUCCGCUCGAAUGGACAUUGGAGAAGGUGCUCAUCAACAAACCACUUAUUGACGCCUCAUUAGUCCAAUAUGAGGAUAACUGGUGGCUCUUUGCCUCGGAUUUUACACAGUAUGGAACUGAGAAGAAUGCAGAGCUUGAGAUUUGGUACAGUAGCUCUCCUCUUGGUCCUUGGAAAGAGCACAGGCAGAACCCUAUUUACAAAGCUGACAAAAGUUUGGGAGCUCGAAAUGGUGGAAGGCUCUUCAUGUUUGAAGGGUCGUUGUAUCGUCCAGGUCAGGAUUGCAGCGGAACCUAUGGACGGAAGGUUAAGUUGUACAAAGUUGAAAAGCUAAGCAAGGAAGAAUACAAAGAGGUGCCAGUAGAACUUGGGAUUGAAGAGCCAAAGAAGGGGAGAAAUGCCUGGAAUGGUAUGAGGUACCAUCACUUGGACGCGCAGCAACUUGACUCUGGUAGAUGGAUAGCUGUAAUGGAUGGUGACCGCGUUCCUUCAGGCGAUUCAACGCGAAGGUCCAUCUCUGGUUACCUGGGUUUCUUGCUAGCCAUAGUUCUGGUCACUUUUGUGGGGUUUGUGAAAGGUGCAAUCAAUUGCUACAUCCCUCCGAGUUUCUGGGCUGCCCCGGCAAGGAGAAAUGAAUUGUCCCGUAUCUUGCCUGUCUACCGCUUCAACCAGAAAGUCCGCAGAUAUUCUACCAGCCUUGGCAGAUACAUCACAGCCACCAAAGCAAGGCUCAAUGAGAAAACAUGGUCCAACAAGCUCUUCUUCUGCGUGAUUGCUCUAUUAGGGACCGUGAACGUCUGCAUCGCUGUGCACUUCCUACUUGGUGGUAAUGGCACGGAAGAGGCAUACACACAUCAAGGUCAGCGCUCUCAGUUCACGUUGGUCACCAUGACAUAUGAAGCUCGGCUCUGGAACUUGAAAAUGUUCGUCGAACACUACUCCAGAUGCGAGUCGGUCAGGGAGAUAGUUGUCGUCUGGAACAAAGGCAACCCUCCUGGCAGUGAUGCCUUCGACUCCACGGUGCCUGUCAGGAUACGAGUGGAGGAGCUCAACUCUCUCAACAACAGGUUCAGAGUCGACCCUCUGAUAAAGACCCGGGCCGUCCUCGAGCUGGACGACGACAUCAUGAUGACCUGCAGCGACGUAGAGAAAGGGUUCAAGGUGUGGAGGGAGCACCCCGAGCGGAUGGUCGGCUUCUACCCACGGAUGAUCGACGGCGACCCUCCGCAGUACAGGAACGAGCGGUACGCCAGGGGCAAGAAGGGCUACAACCUGAUCCUCACAGGUGCCGCAUUCAUGGACAGUGAGUUUGCUUUCAAGAGGUACUGGAGCGAGGAGGCCAAGGAAGGGAGGGACUACGUGCACAAGAACUUCAACUGUGAGGACCUGCUGAUGAACUUCAUGUACGCGAACGCGAGCUCCGGUGCCGGGGGGAGGACGGUGGAGUACGUGCACCCGGCGUGGGCCAUCGACACCUCCAAGCUCUCCUCCGUCGCCAUCAGCCGCGACACCCAGAAGCACUACGACGUGAGGACCAAGUGCCUGGCCAAGUUCUCCUCCAUAUACGGCCCUCUGCCACAGAAAUGGGAGUUCGGCAGGCGACAAGAUGGCUGGGACAAAUAGCCCGGGCUCUGGACAGUGGGGGCGGGAGAUAGUACACAACCAACAGAUGCAAAUGCUUAGAACUUUUUUUGUUGUUGGUCCCGUGGGAAGUUUUGCAGCACGGGACGGAAAUGCUAUAACCUGCUUGGUAGAAGUGUCUAUUAGAUUUUGGCUAGAAGCCUAGAUUGCAGUAGAUCAAGAUCUCUUCAGUGUCUGGUUCAAUGCUCAAAAUAGGCCAACUGCAAUGCGCUAAGAUUCGAUUGGGUCGUAUGCUUGUCCUUCUUUUCUCAUAGAUAUUCUUUUUGCACUUUGUUUCUCCAAUUGUAAAUGGUGUGGUUUUGCUUAUCAAACUAGAGUGCAAGGAAUUCAUCUUAGAUGUUUCAGAAUUUUGUUCACGUCACUAGAGUGGACUGCAGUGGCAGGAGAAAUUCUAACGUUUUGUGGCGUGCGAUAGCGAGACUGGCGGGAAAGUAUCCGGUGCUCCCAGCCUUUGGGUACUCCCGGUGCUCCAAUGUUAAAAAAUGUUUUUAAAUAUUUCAAAGAAUUCUGGAAAAAAAUGAGAAUGAUCACAAGGAAUGUUACCACAUCCCCUAAAAAUUUCAGGUCCAAAAUCGAAAUGUACAUUCAGUAACAAAAAAGAGAAAUCCAGAUCUAAAUAGUAUCAAUGUUGCUUUUGUCCCUUCUUUACACUAUUCAUGCUAGAUUUUAUAUUUUUGUUUCUCAAUGUGUGUUUCGAAUUUGGACUUGAAAUUUGGAGGGCUUGUAGUCAUAUUCAUUAUGAACAUUCACAAUUUUUUUUAAAAAAAUGAAAUAUUAAAAAAAUGUUUUUUGACAUUAGAGUACCGGGAGUACCCAAGACUAGGAGCACUGGAUACUUUCCCCGAGACUGGCCUAGCCGGUUGGUAGAAGUCCAAGCUUUGCCCGUCUAACUAAAAUUUCACUGGACAGAUUGCAUGGAAGCUACCAAAGCAAACCAACCCUAAAAUUGCUGAAUUCUCAUAGAAAGUACGACCCUACAACUAUCAGCAGAUGAACAAACAUGAGACAGAGUUCCGUUUUUUCCCUUCUCAAGUCGCUAAUUUACCUAAUCUUCGAACAUGAAACGACUAGAGAGCACCGAACAAACAUUUGAGUUACACAACAGGAGGCGACUGGUCUAGCUGAGGAUGCGACUGCAGCUUUUUGUUUGCGCAUCCAACUUAUUUCUUCCUUCCGCGGGUUGACUUCGUCUUCUUGCUAGCAGCUGCACUGGCUGGUUUCUCUGCAGUUUCCUGCGAUUCAUACCAUACAGAAAUUCAAGUGGUGAAAUGUUGUCAUGCAGAAAAGAUAUAGUACUACCCCAGCAGGGCAAAUGUGUUAUUGUUAGUGCACAAUUCAACACUAAACACAAUCUAUAGGAGCCCCCGAGGGAAAAUCGUCUAGAAUUAUUACAGCACUAGUUUUCAAAAUAUAGCUUCUGCUAUUUGUAUCUACCCGGCUGCUUAUUCAUUUGAAAAUACUGUUGGGAAAUGUGCACCUGUCUUGUGGUGAUGUUGAUAUCAGGCGUGUUGCACAAUGGAAUCAUCUACAGUUCAAACUAGGGCAGGUAGCCUGGUGGUGAAUUGGUGAUGUCUAGCACUACCCAAAUAGUGGUACGAAUAUCAGAUACACACUAGGCCAAAGUUUGGGUUGCAUAUGAUGCUAGAAAAUGAUGUUUCCAGACAAGGCCAAGGAUUACAUAUAUAAGCACUAUAACAUGAAGUGGCAUUUUGGUGGAUGUAUGUACCUUCCGCUUCAAUGGCACUGAUGUGCUAACAGUUGGCUUGAAAAAUGACUCGAGCCUGAUUAAAUCAAGUCAACAAUUAUUACAGUAUGAUGAUCUAUGAUCAAGUUCAAGUGCUAAGAAAGUGACUAUGCACACAUGUAUUAUUCUUAAGAACCAUGUAUGUGAAUAUAUAAUGCUCACCUUCCUUGGGAUGAUUUAUUCUUCGCCGAUUUAAUCUUCUCUAUGGCCUACAUGAAACCCACGACAUAUGGUUGAUAAAAAUGUUUAAAUAACUGGAACAGAGAGAGACAAGAAAAAUGCAUGCCUUUGUCACACGAUCUUGAUUGAAACCAUUUUCUUUCACCAGAAAGUUCACGAGGCCCUGGGGAAAGAUUAGAAGUAACGGGUAUUUUCAAUUGUUCACUUCCUGUUCACGAGGCAAGUAACAAGGACAGUAGACAUACCUCCUCGUCAGGUGCAGUCCAUUUGAGCUCGGGAAUAUCCAGUGUUACAUCGGGUUCCUUGAACAUGCGCCGAGCUUCUUGAUAAGGCCAGUCCUCAGGAAUUUGAUAUCUACAGUAGACAAUGGACACAUGCGAAGAAAUUAAAAACCAACACAAACCAGAAUUUCACUGGCCAAGAGGUGCAUGACUUUAAAGCGGAUAAAUCUUGGGCCACUGUGCUACACAACUGACAUGUUGGAUUCAGCUGAGCACUAAGUCAAUAGAAAAACCUUCAAAAUGGAUAAGGACUAACUUGUCUUUAUUAAUAUUUUCCAGAAUGCCCUCAAUGGACCCGUGCUGACGAAUGAGCUUCAGAGCUGUAAGACCACCAAUGCCUAGUGGACAAGAUUCCAUACAGUUAGAAAACUUCUCUGCUAGCUACAUAAUUUGAUAAAUGUGGACUACAAAAUGAAAGCGAAAGAGUAAGCAAUGAUACCUUUAAUGCUAUCACAGUAGUCACAUCCACAGAGGAUGCACAAGUCAAUGAAUUGGUCCAUAGUGAAUUCAAGCUCCUCAAGAAUCUGCAGUAUGAAAUUUGGUUAAGUGUAUACAAGAUAAGGAUGAAACUUAUGCUCAACAUAAUACUGCAUACUUUCGCAACUUCAAAUUCCAUAACAGGUAUUUUCCUGGAACUUGGAUCCAUCAAAUGACGAACAAACCGUGUAGCUCCAAAAGUAAGUGAGUCCAUAUCUUCGGAUGCAACAGCAUACACCUACAAAAUAAACUGUACUAAAUAAAAAUGGAAGCAGAGGGUGAAAACAAGAAGGUAGUGGAAGUCCACUAUGUUAAUAUUACCUUGUCAUUCUUGGAAAGGGCAGCACAUUGUGAUUCUGCUUCACAAGGAGCCUAUUGGUGGUACAGGAGAGGGAACUUUAAGUGAAAUUAACAGCAUCACAAACACACAAUAAAUCAUAAACUAUAUGCUGAUAGAAAGCGAAUUUACCAAUUCCACAUAAAAACAUGAUUAUAUAUGUUAAUGUGUACCCUGUAAAAUAUGUAUGGCAGUGAGCAAAACUGAAUUUACCUCCACAACAGGAACACCCAUCAGUCUUAGUAGACGCUUACAAUCAUCAUUGUGCUGCUUCGUGACCUGCUCAUAAAGGACAUGGAAAGAUGUAAAGCUAGAAUUUACUCUGAGAACUAAUUCAUCGCAUAUAUUACAUAACAUCACUUUAUGCAAAAAAAAGGUACAAAAGUUCAGUUGAUACUUGCUCAGUGAAGGAACCAGUUGGCUCCUAGCACAAUGCAAAUCGUCUUACAUUAAGGAGAUUACGAGUGAUGAAAAAUUUCAAGACUCUUUAUCACAAACAACUGAAAAUAGUAAUUUCUCACCUUUACAGUUCUCUUGCUGAAUUUUUCAAUUGCAUCCGUAUCUCCUGCCUAGAACAACAAAAUGCAUUUCGCAUAGGGGGUCAAAAGAGAGAGCAUAGAAGAACAGCGUGGAUAAAAAACUGAUCAAAGCAACGUCAGCAAACCUCUACUGCCUUCGUCAGCCCUUCUGUUGCUUCAUUCCUCUUUGCGUGUCUGACAAGUAUUCCAGGUUAGCAUUGUAUAACCUAAAAAGUAGUGAAGGCAAACAUAUAAAGUGUGCUAGGAAACAACCAAAGGAUAAAUAACCUUUUUAAAAGCUCGUCCUUCUUCAUUUCAGGAGGCUUGCCAUCAAAAACAUAUCUGCAUGAGCAAUGUUGUGAUCCCAUUAAAAAUAGACUGAUAUUUUCACAUGUAAUUAUAUGAAAAAUUUCUGAUAUUAAGAAAUGAAAGAAUUUGGAUUACACUGGUUUAAUUCCUGCCUCGAGCAACCUUAUUGUCCGGCUGAACAUGCCUUGCAAAUGACUGUCCAAGAAAAAGAAAGAACCGCAUGAACAUACAUACUAGGACUAUAAACUUUGAGCAGUACUUCAAGUCAAAUAAUAUUAAGUAUGGUUGGAGAGAGAGAAAGAGAUCUAAACCUGGUGACAUCGCCGGCUUCGUUUGUAAGGGUUUCCAUCCCUGUCCUUCCAACUACAAUCUGUACAAGGGAAAGCAUAAGAAACAUAUCCCACCUUUCAUCGCGUUAGGUAAUAAAAGGGUUUGCUAUUAUCUCACAACUGCUUGUUAACAUCCACACAGAAGACAGUUCAUCGGUGCAACUUCAAAAUUUUCCUUCCUUUAUGUUGUAAAUAAGAGAAAACAUCCUAUGCUAGAGGCAAUCAGCUCAUUGUUAAUCAACCCAGCCAAAGUAAGAACACGCAACUUAUAUGCCCAAGGGGUGGGUGAAAAUUUGGCAGCCUACUGCAACAAUCUUCUAAGAGUAUAAAAUGGGAAAUAUUCCAGCACUGGGCAACCAGUAUCACAAAACUGCCACCACACGAGGGUCUACAAAAGCAUAAACCCAACCUAAGAGAGCAAAUCUGCUAUAGGCCCAAUCGUAGAAUGCACGUAGAGUCAGCGACCAGCCGCAUAUAGAGAUGGACUCUUCAGCACAAAACUGGCCGAGGUCACUGUCGUGCAAGCACAAUACUACAUAGAAACAAACAGUAAAUGGAGGAGAGGCCAUGCGGGUCAGGGGAGAAUGGGGGCUAUACGAGGAACUGGUAGAUGCACAUGCUGGCGUCGACGGCGAUGCGGCGGCCGAAGUAGCUCUCGAACUUCUGCUCCCUCAUCGACUUGGGCGCGUUGUCCGCCAGCAGCUUCGUCAAACCCUACAGCCACGCACAAAAUGAAUCGCCUCUCCAUUCGAAUGUGACGGGGAAAACCGCCCCCGAAUCCACAGGAUACGAUACUCAAAAUCCACAAGGAGAGGAGGAGGCUCAGGCAGCCGGUCACGACGCGACGCGCUCACCUUGACUCCCAUCUCGCCGGCGACGGCGGCAGGCGGCGCGCGAAGGCGGCGGGGGCGGGGCGGGGAGAGGGGGGGAGAAGAGGCCGCGGGCUAUUUUCAGUUUUUUUUUUUCUCUUUUCCUUUCCGCCCCCCGGUCUUUGUAUUCUGGGAGCGCCGUGGUACAUAUGGGCCGGGCCGGGCCGGGCGGGCGGGCUCAGAUAGCAGAGCGUCCAGGCCCAGGGAAGCCACCCCUAAUCUCGAACAGCACCCAAAGCAGAGCCGCCGGGGAGGCUGCGGCGAGCUGCCGGAGGGAGGGAAGGGGAGAUGGCGAGCCGGCUGUGGAGGUGGUACGCGGACCGGCAGUUCCACAAGUGGGAGAAGACGGUGCUGUGGGACAUGGUGGAGCCCUACCGCCCGCCGCGCUCCUUCGCGCCGCUCGUCGGCACCUACGUCGCCGCCUUCUACACCGCCAUCGUCGGCGCCGCCGUCACCGAGCAGCUCUACAAGGUCAGGCCACUCGCUCUCGGACCGACGCCGGGGCCUCCUCGGACGUCGCUCCCCCUUCCUGUCUGCGCGCUCGCUCGCUCGCGCGGUAGAUGCUCGACGAAAUGCCUACUUGCUCAGGAUAGCACAGCUCGCAUCAUAAAAUUAUCCAUCUCCUGGCAUGGCAUCGUUUGCAUUCCUUAUUUACUGGCCAGAUUCCACUGAUCUCCUACGGUGAUAUGUGGCUUCAAAUUUAGGAAUUCAUUUGAAAAUCGAAGGAUCGCAAUUAUGAUACUGCAUUGGAGAGGCUUGGUUUUGUGUGCUUACAUCGCCUCUGGAAUUCACCUGAUUGUGUGUUGCUGUUGUAUUUUUGGAGCAGGAGAAGUACUGGGAGGAUCAUCCGGGCGAGGCGGUGCCGAUCAUGCCGCCCAUGUUCUACUGGGGGCCAUGGAGGGUGGUGAACGGAGAGGUUCCCCGCUUCAUCCAGACGCCCGAGGAAGCUAAGCCGGCAUAGAACUGCUUGGAGAUCGCUGGGGAUGCUGUGAAAUGUUUGCUGUUCACUGUCUGCUGUGUAGCUAUGGCAUUCCUGCAUUUCUUGCAAUUUGCAUUCUGGUGAUUGCGCACUGCCGUGAAUCAUAAUGGUCUUUCUAUGUAUCCUUGUUUGCACAAAUAAAUUGAUAUUUCUAUCACGGAGCAGAUUGUUUGCAUUUUAUCGAUUUGAUGAUCUUCCAAGCGAAAUAGAUAGCGCUGGGAUGCUCUCAUUUUGCAUCAUCUAAAACAAAGGUUCCAGUCAUUGCCAGCGUGCAGCCAACGAUAGGCAGUGCCAUGAGACCUAAUAUACAAAGUAAACUGAAACGGAGGGAAUAUGCAGCACCGGAACAGCCACGAGCACACCACCAUAAGGCCAAGGCCAACUCCACCGCGUGACCCAUCCGGUCCGAAUUUGUCUGUUUGGGAUAAAAUACGACCCAGUGGUAAUACCCAAACAGACAAAGUUGUCUUUUGGACAUUUUUUUUGUCCCGCCCAACCCCAAACCUGGAGCAAAUUUGGUCCAAGAAUGCUCCCGAACGGACAGAAAACGAACGCUCUCCUCGCACCUCUCGUCCGCUCCUGUCCGCCCGUGCCUUCCCUCUGGCCCACAAAUCAGUGAGACCGAGAGGCUGGGGCGCGUGCGCGGGCGGGGCGACGCCGCGGCGAGGGCGUGGCCGAGGCUGGACGAGCGCGGCGNNNNNNNNNNNNNNNNNNNNNNNNNNNNNNNNNNNNNNNNNNNNNNNNNNNNNNNNNNNNNNNNNNNNNNNNNNNNNNNNNNNNNNNNNNNNNNNNNNNNNNNNNNNNNNNNNNNNNNNNNNNNNNNNNNNNNNNNNNNNNNNNNNNNNNNNNNNNNNNNNNNNNNNNNNNNNNNNNNNNNNNNNNNNNNNNNNNNNNNNNNNNNNNNNNNNNNNNNNNNNNNNNNNNNNNNNNNNNNNNNNNNNNNNNNNNNNNNNNNNNNNNNNNNNNNNNNNNNNNNNNNNNNNNNNNNNNNNNNNNNNNNNNNNNNNNNNNNNNNNNNNNNNNNNNNNNNNNNNNNNNNNNNNNNNNNNNNNNNNNNNNNNNNNNNNNNNNNNNNNCAACGGGGUGCUGGCGUGGCAGGGCGGGGCGCAGUCCUGCAGGCCGCGGCUGGGGCGGCGGCGAGGUGGGGGUUCGCGCGGGGUGGCAUGGCAAGCUCGCGGCGAGGCUCCAGGGUGUGCGCGGUGCGGCAUGGCGAGCUCAGGGCAAAGCGGGGCGGACAGUUUGGGGUCCCAGAGGCCUUCUGCGCGUUGGGUGCAGAUGCCUCAUACGUCUGUCCGCCCCCGGACGUCCGCCAAAUCGCACCCCAAACGGACAAAAGCGGGCGUCCGGAUGGGUCACACGGUGAAGUUGGUCCUAAAAUCACAAGGAUUCUGCGCGUUGGGUGCAGAUGCCUCAUACGUCUGUCCGCCCCCGGACGUCCGCCAAAUCGCACCCCAAACGGACAAAAGCGGACGUCCGGAUGGGUCACGCGGUGAAGUUGGCCUAAAAACACAAGGACACAGGCAAAUUGCAGUUAUCAAAAGAAGCACUUCGAUAACACCAGGCGUUGCCCAGUUAACAUUCAAAGCCCCAAAUGCUUGUCUUGUCAGAAUCUAUCUGAGUUUUGACCCAAAAUGAAAGAGCUCUAAAUCUAGUUAAGGCUACAUCAGCACUGAAGCAUGAGUUUUUCACAAACCAAAAUAGGUGCCAGCUUUGCACCUCCCACUUCGAUAGGGAGGGGAAUCUCUAUUCAUGUAUAGACCGGGGGGAGUUAAGUUUGUCAUGUCUUUAACCAAAAACAGGCAAAUGAGACAUCAUGCCGCACUGUCCUCAG